rnacentral:rRNA from 1 species
GACCUGGUCGGGCGGUCCGCCUAACGGUGUGUACUGUCUGACUGGGUCUUACCUCUUGGUGAGCCGGCGUGCCCUUCACUGGUGUGCGUCGGGGAACCAGGACUUUUACCUUGAGAAAAUUAGAGUGUUCAAAGCAGGCCUAUGCCCGAAUACAUUAGCAUGGAAUAAUAAAAUAGGACG